rnacentral:rRNA from 1 species
GACGAACGCUGGCGGCGUGCCUAAUACAUGCAAGUUGAGCGCUGAAGGUUGGUACUUGUACCAACUGGAUGAGCAGCAAACGGGUGAGUAACGCGUGGGGAACCUGCCUAUGAGCGGGGGACAACAUCUGGAAACGAUUGCUAAUACCGCAUAAAAUCUUUAACCACAUGUUUCAAGUUUGAAAGAUGCAAUUGCAUUACCCAAUGAUGAUCCCGGGUUGUCUUAGCCAGUUGGUAAGGUAAAGGCUCACCAAGGCAAGGUAACAUAGCCGACCGGAGAGGUGGUCGGCCACAAUGGGACUGGGGCACGGCCCAAGACCCCUCGGGGAGCAGCAGUAGGGGAUCUUCCGGAAUGGGCGGAAGGCCUACCGGGGAACGCCGCGUGGGGGGAGGAGGUUUUCGGAUCGUAAAACUCUGUUGAUAGGGAAGAACGUUAGGGGUAGUUGAAAGCGCAUCAAGUGACGGUAACUACCCAGAAAGGGACGGCUAACUACGUG